GACGAACGCUGGCGGCGUGCUUAACACAUGCAAGUCGAACGGUGAAGGUGGGAGCUUGCUCCUGCUGGAUCAGUGGCGAACGGGUGAGUAACACGUGAGUAACCUGCCCUUGACUCUGGGAUAAGCGUUGGAAACGACGUCUAAUACCGGCUACGAGCUUCAGCCGCAUGGCUAGGAGUUGGACAGAUUUUUCGGUGAAGGAUGGACUCGGGGCCUAUCAGCUUGUUGGUGAGGUAAAGGAUCACGAAGGCGACGACGGGUAGCCGGCCGGAGAGGGUGACAGGCCACACAGGGACAGGGACACGGCCCAGACUGAGACGGGAGGAAGGAGUGGGGAAUAUUGCACAAUGGGCGCAAGGCGGAUGGAGGAACGCCGCGUGAGGGACGACGGCCAUCGGGUUGUAAGCCUCUUGUAGCAGGGAAGAAGCGCAAGUGACGGUACCUGCGGAAAAAGCACCGGCUAACUACGUGCCAGCCGCCGCAGUAA
rnacentral:rRNA from 1 species